rnacentral:lncRNA from 1 species
AUGCCCCCACUCUCCUUGCAACCAAGGAGCCCACACCCCUUCCCCCAGUGUCUCUUCCAUCAGUCCAAGGCUGAGGCAACCCAGUUGCUUCCGAAGCAAGAUGACCAAGUUUGGAAGAGACGGCUGAAGCAUCUGUCCCUGGCAGAAGCUCUGUCUUGCGCUCAGACACUCUACCCAGACUUUGUUCCUGGCGGCACCAGAGAACUUCCCCAGCCCGGGGAGGAAUCUCUGAGGAUCACAGGUGUCAACAGGAUGGAAAUAAAACCAGAGACCAUGCUGAGAUUCUUCCGUGGAGAUCCAAAAAGGAGCAUUCUUCUUCCCAGCACUUCUUGCCAAGGAUGA